GGGCCAGACUGACCUUGAGAUACUGAGGGAUCCAUACCCAUCAGCUUCAGGGAAGGAACACAUAGGCAGCCUCCAUGCCACAGAAGAGCACAUCUGGAGACCCAGCUCUGUAGGCUACACCUGAACUCCUUUGGCUCUGCUCUUGAAAAAGAACUGAGAGGCUCAUGUUAGCUGCUUUGACAACGAC